GAUGAGUAAUAGUCUGAUCUGGCAUUUCUGAGGGCCUUCCUAUACAUUUUCAGACUGUCUUGCCAAUUUAAACGAGAUUCUUCGAGUUUGGUGGAACGCCAUUUACUUUCAAGUUUUCACGAGGUUUGUUUCAAUUUGCGAGUUCGGGAGUUAUACCAAGGUGCUAGUUUCCUUUGCGUCAUCAUCUUCUUUUUUAGAGAUGCAACAAAGUCUAAAGUCGUCUGUAGGCAGGUCGUAGUACCUUCUACAAAUCCA